GGCUUUCUUCUUUACUGCAUGUUGGCUUCUGAGUAUUGUCCCUGUAUCCAGCCCGAAAAGAUGAGAGUCGCCUUCUAACCCUAAUUGAUUUCUGAGUUCUUCGGCGAGAACAAAAAUUAAUCUGAAAAUGAAACAAAUCUUGGACGACUACGGCUAAGGUUCACCGGGACUCCGCUACAAAAAGUGAUGGACGGCAAAGACGGAGGAUAGAGGAGAAGGGACAACGAGAUCUAUUUAGCAGUAAAAAGACCGCUUUGUGAGAGAACACUCCUACAAGGGAGACAAUAAUGAGAGGACUAAAUCAUCUUCAGAUGCUCGAACCAGUGCUCAUGCAUGAAUCGACCAUCCUUGCUUCCGGUAAGGUCACACACAUCCUUGAUUUUCAUUUUAUAUUAGCGGCCUGAAGACCCGUGGGCUGCAUACUCAAAGCCAGUAUAUCCUCUGCCUCACAAGAAGGAGAGUACAUCCUGGAAGGUAAUACAAAAGGCAUGCAUCAAACAUAUUGCUUUUUUAUUGAAUGUAAUCUUCAAUUGAACUCAUCGCUGUGAUGAUAAGUUUUGUGUUUCAUCCAGGGAUACUAAUGUGUCUUUUAUAUUGGUAAUUCAUUGCUCUUUUUGCUUUUUUUCAUUAAUUUUGAUUUAUUGAUUCUUUGUGUUUGAUGUGAUUUGCUAUCUUGCAUUAAUCACAGAGGUACACCAGAACAUCGUAUUAGGACUUUCACACUCAAGAAAGAUGAAGCCAUAUGCUGGGUGCUGCGUUUUGUGUCCGUACGGUAACCAUAAGAAGAACGUUUGGCUAUGGAGCUAUGUUUCUGCAACUAAAACUAAAGAAUAUAUCUUUCAUAGCUCUUUCACUUCGGCGGCGAGAGCGUGCAUAUGAAGUUUCUUUUGGAAGUGAUCGAAGCCAACAAUCAUGCAUACAAAAUGUUAGAAUCUCUAUCCACUCAGUCAGAACGAUAUUGGACUCUCCAUUAACUCCUAUGAUGGUGCAAGGCAAGUUAAAAAACGAUCAAUGGAAUUGGCGAAAGAGCUUGAACCUUUGCUUUUUGAUCAGAACGUUUGUGUACAUUCCAAUAGAUGAAUUAGAAGCUGCAACGUUUUCCCCCGUUUAGGAGUUUCCCUCACGGCAGAAGCUUCACUUUGGUUGAAGAUGAUCAUCCAUUUUUAACGUGUUGCUGUCAUAUUAUUUACAUUCAAUGAAUAAAAAUUACCACGAAGUA